AGCCUAUUCAGAAUUCAGUUCUUAGUCUUGCAUCGAUAGAUAGUUGAUCUAAGCUCCAGGCAUAGAAUCGAAAUGGCGAAAAUUAUUUUAUUAUUAUCUAUUUUCUUAUUAAUUGGCAUAUAUUCCAGUACCGCAUAUACUAAACCUCCUGGUCCAGGUUGUGAUGGCAAAUGGUGCCAUCCGUCAUGGGGUUAUCGUUGUUGUAAACAUCAUGUCUGCAGCGCCCAUUUCUGGCAAGGUGCAUGUAUGCCUAUGUGGGAUUGGAUGUGGUCAAGAGGAUAAUAAAUAAUAACAAUAAUCUGUCAGGAUAAUUAUCGAGACGAAAAUAACGUAAUUUCCUGUAUUAUUACUUUAUAUGAUUAAUUGAUUAUCAAUAAAUAUCUCAAUAAUAUCAACGA